CUCAGAUACUGUGUUCUCUGAGUUCUUACAUGAUUCUGAAUGUCCUUUUUAUUACCUUUGUACUUUCAGACUUGGUUGGAUAAACAAUUCAUGUGACACAUUUUCAUUCUCCAGAACUUUGUAGGAUUUAACUUCAAAUAUUGCUGCGAAGAAGUUUCAGGGGAUCCCGAUUUUGUCUUCUGGAUCCAAUCCAGGAUACCAUAUUAUUUCAUGCUAUGUCUGAAGUCCUAAAACAGAGCACAAAGAAGGCUCACUAAGGUAGUAUGACUGUGGCAGGAAGA
rnacentral:lncRNA from 1 species